AGGAGGAGAAGCUUGCCAGUUUGGAGGGAGGGUCUUCAUUCGCUGCUAUCGUGCGGCCCAAUCCGUCAUUGCAUUAGCAGAUCGUGGGCAGUAAGUCAAGCCCACUAGCGGCAAUUGCUGAAGAAGAGAUUUGCAUUCGAACAGAGCUGCACAUGCUUGCCAGUCCACUUCAUUCGCAUUCUUCAAGUAGUUCACGAGAGUUCAGUUGUCAGACUCCACCAAAGCCUCCCCCGUUUUUUUUUUAAUGUUUUAAGUACUUCAAGGCUUUGAGAACCUGUAGGGUUUCCAGCUGAAGAAUCGUUUCCGCCCGGACGAGCUUCGUAAAUCCAUCGACGAGGCUACCAAAGGAGUCUCGGACGACGCAAGACACUGCUCCUUCCAUCGAUCCCUUGCACAACGACCCAUCUACAUUAAGCUUAAAGGAACCGGCUUCUGGAGCUUGCCAGAUCUAUCACUUUGCAGGCCUUCGGUUUUGUACCUCAAAAAAUAAAGUUGUUGCGCUCCUUCCAUAUUUGUGAAAGAAAGUUUCCGAUCGUUUCCAGAGAUGGGAGAUUCGAAUUUUUUCUUAUAAAUUGUACUAGUGACUCAUCCGUUCGUUUAACCUCCUGUGCGUCUACUCAUAGGUUAAUUUCCAGGUGAUUCCAUACCUUUCCAGUCCAGGGACAGAAGAGAAGGGUGUGUUCGACCGUUUCCACCUUAUCUCGGCAAAGAUCACAGAUCGGAUCAGUUUCAACGCUACUCACCAAUAGGAGCGGACUAUGAUCGGACCCAACAAUUGGUAGAGCAAAAGCUUAUGCUUCCGGGAACAUGAGCCUCCAAUCUAGCGAGCAAAACACUCUAUCUAGUUUCUCCUUGACUAGAUCAGCCCCUUCUUUGUUAUUGGACCAGGAUGAUGGUUUGACAGCCGGCAGAAGCUGUUGUUCUGGUUCUUCAAUGUUCAUGAUGCAUUUUCCUUUCUCCUGACGCUGUUCCACUUGGUGUUAAGGUAAAAUUAUAUCAACAUGUGCCCUGUUUAGAGAUUGAGUUGUUUUUGUGGAUCUUGAUGCUGUCUGCUUACUAGAGGAAAUGCCCGAACCUAGUCGUCUUCCUAUCUUCA